rnacentral:lncRNA from 1 species
GUGGGACUCAGGGUAAGUAGCUCUCUCAUUGUCCCUCAACCAGUAAGUGGCACAAAAGUCAUGGAGCAGAGUUUCCAUCUGCCCCAGGUCUCCAUUAGUGAACAAAGGCCAUCCCCGGGCACAAUUUAUUAGUCUUUCAAAGGUCACUCUACACUCUGAGUAUUUGCACGUCUGCAGAUAUUCGUGUGGCCUACAUGUUAGCAGAUGAGAGAUGCCCAUCGAGAACCUUACACCACUUCUUGCCAGUAUUUGAGCAGAUGUACCCAAGAAAACAACUGUUUUGGUCCAAAUUCCUACUUAGAGGUACUGGAAAUGUUUUAACAGUAGCAACUCACUUUUCAUUAAAAACACACAUUUCCUAUUCAUGACCAUCUGAUCCUUCAAGAAACCAACCUAAACCUCUUCCCCACCAUCAACGUUUUUAUAUGGUUCUCCUAAGUUCCUGUUUUCCACACCUUCCUCUUUGUCCCUCAAUGGGUGGCCAUAUGGUAUCCACCUCAUCAAUGACAAUGGCAGCUUGCCUCAGCCACCAAUGUCCUUUCUGGUUGGGGAUCAGAUCUCUCCAUGGAAUUGAUGCCUUCAACCACCCCGUGUGAGUCAGCUUUUCCUCACUGUGACAAAACGCCUGAGACAAUCAACUUAAAGAAGGAAAGGUUUGUUUGGGUUCACAGUCUUAGAAGUUCCAUUCCAGGGGCCGUUGACUCCAUUGCUUUGGGUCUGAGGUGAGGCAGAACGUAUUGGUGGGGAGCAUGUGGUGGGGCAAAGCUGCUCACCUGGUGGCAUUCAGGAAACA